AUUUUUUUAAUAGUAUUGAAAUUGAAAUUGUUUCUAUGACUAAUUAUGCCUAAAACACUGCCCCUAAUUCAAAUUUCAAAUUUGUUCUCUAUGUAUUCCUUCAUCUAUUCAUAUUCAGGCGCGUUUUACUUUUUGAUUGUGAUUUUACCUUACAGUGUAUUUUUAAUUUGAAACUGUUCAUAGGAUACACAUAUCAUGUGCUCCAGACGGAGCAUUUAUUUAUUUAUACAUUUAUUUACAAGUAUUAACCAUUUAAUCAUUUUGUUUUCACUUUAUUAUUUUAUUAAUUAUAAUGAGACACAUAAUAUGAGAAUAAUAUGUUUUUAGAAAAUACAAUGCCGGGAAGGAUUGCAAUUUACUUGUGAAAUGUGAUGUUUGGAUCGCCGUGANUAAUAUUGCUGGUUAAGGUUAGGUUAUUUUAAAGACAUUACACAUACUUUCCUCUUACAUUGUUUAAUUAUUUAAGUACAUUUAAGUUGUUCAUUCCCAUACCUAAUUGGUGCCUUAAUCUUUCUCUUGGGUCUUUUCUUUAUUUCACUCCCAUUGAGCUCUGAUUUAUUUCCUUCAACCUCGCCAAAAAAAAGACACAAAGUAACAAUUUUAAAACACAAUAUAACUGCGGUGGCCAAACCGGAGAUCACCGAUGAUUUAAAUGUCAAUCUCUAUUUUGUUAUUUAGUAUGACGCAAAACAUCAUUUAGUUAAACUUUUUAGUUUUAUUAUUUUGUUUGUGUAUGUUUAUUAUUAAUACCUAUUAAGUUUAAUUGUUAAGUGUUAGGAAGUUGAUCCUUAAAGGAAAAAUAUAUUCUUAAUAGAUCUUUAAUAUAGAAGUUUGGCCACCCAUCUAAUAUAAAAUUAGGAUGUUUAGAUAAACAUAUGAUUGAGGCUAAUUUAGAAAUAGAGAACUCUUACCCUAGACACGAGGUACAGUUGAAAAUAUGAUACUAUUUAAGAUAAUAGAGGGU